UACGCGUUUCGCCACAAUAGGCUUCAUCAAGUAGAAACAAUAUAAAAAGCAUUUGUUAUAUUGUUUCUACUUGAUGAAGCCUAUUGUGGCGAAACGCGUAU